rnacentral:rRNA from 1 species
UACGUAGGGUGCAAGCGUUGUCCGGAAUUAUUGGGCGUAAAGAGCUCGUAGGCGGUUUGUCGCGUCGGCUGUGAAAACCUGGGGCUCAACCCCGGGCCUGCAGCCGAUACGGGCAAACUAGAAUUCGGUAGGGGAGACUGGAAUUCCUGGUGUAGCGGUGAAAUGCGCAGAUAUCAGGAGGAACACCGGUGGCGAAGGCGGCUCACUGGCUCGUUUUCUGACGCUCAGGCGCGACAGCGUGGGGGAUCAAACAGG